rnacentral:rRNA from 1 species
UACGGAGGGUGCAAGCGUUAAUCGGAAUUACUGGGCGUAAAGCGCGCGCAGGCGGCGAUCUACGUCCGGGGUGAAAGCCCGGGGCUUAACCCCGGGUCUGCAUUCGAUACGGGCAGGCUGGAGUUCGGUAGGGGAGAUCGGAAUUCCUGGUGUAGCGGUGAAAUGCGCAGAUAUCAGGAGGAACACCGGUGGCGAAGGCGGAUCUCUGGGCCGAUACUGACGCUGAGGAGCGAAAGCGUGGGGAGCGAACAGG